CGGCUGGGUCCAGGCAUCUGUCAUGCUUUCCACAGAGUCAGAGUGCUUCCUACUGCUACAGUCACAGGCAGGAAAGUGACUCACGUGUGCCUGACAAUUUCACUGAGGGAAUUGCUCAUAUCCUUUAGCACACAGCAAGACACUUCCUGGCACCCAGAAGGCUGCGUGAAGGCCAGGCUGUCAGACAAAGGAUGGACAUGCUAUCGCGAGAGAUAAGAGCUCCAC
rnacentral:lncRNA from 1 species